UAAUGGCCCACCAAGGCGACGACGGGUAGCCGGCCUGAGAGGGUGACCGGCCACACUGGGACUGAGACACGGCCCAGACUCCUACGGGAGGCAGCAGUGGGGAAUAUUGCACAAUGGGCGAAAGCCUGAUGCAGCGACGCCGCGUGAGGGAUGACGGCCUUCGGGUUGUAAACCUCUUUCAGUAGGGAAGAAGCGAAAGUGACGGUACCUGCAGAAGAAGCGCCGGCUAACUACGUGCCAGCAGCCGCGGUAAUACGUAGGGCGCAAGCGUUAUCCGGAAUUAUUGGGCGUAAAGAGCUCGUAGGCGGUUUGUCGCGUCUGCCGUGAAAGUCCGGGGCUCAACUCCGGAUCUGCGGUGGGUACGGGCAGACUAGAGUGAUGUAGGGGAGACUGGAAUUCCUGGUGUAGCGGUGAAAUGCGCAGAUAUCAGGAGGAACACCGAUGGCGAAGGCAGGUCUCUGGGCAUUAACUGACGCUGAGGUGCGAAAGCAUGGGGAGCGAACAGGAUUAGAUACCCUGGUAGUCCAUGCCGUAAACGUUGGGCACUAGGUGUGGGGGACAUUCCACGUUUUCCGCGCCGUAGCUAACGCAUUAAGUG
rnacentral:rRNA from 1 species